GAUUAUCUUGCUAGGAGAAGGUGCUGGCAAGUGUCAAGUUCAGCCGAAGAACAAAUACAGUUAAAACAAUGGUGUAAGCAGUGUUGUAGGUGAGUUUGUUACAGACACCAGAAAUCCUCAUUUGUUUAAUGCAUUCACAUGAUGACCCUAACCUGGGAACGCCUGAGCAGACCGAAGUGCAGUCUUAUAGCAAGAUAAAUAUAAAGAGAAAGGGAUAAAACAAGGAAAGGGAAAUUCUACACUGAGCACCAUAAAAAGCUGAUCAGAAAGCUCUGCCAUGCAUGGCACAGCCUCCCAAGGCAGCCUCUCUCUGUGCAGUGCAGAUUGCCAGGGCACAACUGGUAGCAAUCAAGCUUCUCUUUGUCAGAAAGCCAGCUGGAAUGGGGGACAGGGCAGCAGCCCUGAAAGAAGUGUGCGGCUUCAUGGAGAUGAAGAGCAGUGCUGGAGCCUGUAUCCUGUUUGGGAGAUAUGAGGACGAUGUCUCUGGCCUGUCUGAGGAGAUUUAACUGCUCCCUGGUGUGGUUUGGAAGGCAGCCGUGAGGUGUUUCGCCAGCAGCAGGGAAUCUGAUCUGCCUGUCCAGAAGCUGCCAGGAAGAGGGACCCUUGCCAGAGGCAGUGAUGGAAAAGUACUUUUAUUUGUGGUCUUUCUGGCUGGCCAUGCAAAUCUCUUCUGAUCAGGUUUCAGAGGAGGGUUCAAACUGCAAACUGACUUCACAUCAGAGUGGAUUUACUGGGUGAAAAGGGCUGCAGACUUGCUCCUACAGUAGUAGUGCUGGUGCUGCAGGCAGACCCCAGGCCUGGGGGCUGGGAAGCAUCCUUAUCCCCAUCCCCGUUUCUGUCCCCAUCCCUGUCCCCUGUGUGCGCUGCCCUCCCUCUGGUG
rnacentral:lncRNA from 1 species